rnacentral:pre_miRNA from 1 species
GAGGUAAUUCCUCCGUCCAACAAAGUAUGUCUCAACUUUGACUAAAUUUGAAUGCAUCUAUACACCAAGUCAUGUCUAGAUACAUCCAAAUUUUGACAAACUUGAGACAUCUUUUGUUGGACAGAGGGAGUAUUUA